AUUGAACGCUGGCGGCAGGCCUAACACAUGCAAGUCGAACGAGUGGCGGACGGGUGAGUAAUGUCUGGGAAACUGCCCGAGGGAGGGGGAUAACGACUGGAAACGGUAGCUAAAACCCAAAACAAUCAGAUGUGCCCAGAUGGGAUUAGCUAGUUGGUGGGGUAACGGCCCACCAAGGCGACGAUCCCUAGCUGGUCUGAGAGGAUGACCAGCCACACGGGAACUGGGACACGGUCCAGACUCCUACGGGAGGCAGCAGUGGGGAAGAUUGCACAAUGGGCGCAAGCCUGAUGCAGCCAUGCCGCGUGUAUGAAGAAGGCCUUCGGGGUGUAAAGUACUUUCAGCGGGGAGGCGUUACCCGCAGAAGAAGCACCGGCUAACUCCGUGCCAGCCGCCGCGGUAAUAC
rnacentral:rRNA from 1 species